rnacentral:miRNA from 1 species
AACCUCAUCAACCGGAAGGGAUUCCUUCCAGUUGAUGAGGUGCAACAACCUCAUCAACCGGAAGGGAUUCCUUCUGGUUGAUGAGGUG